rnacentral:rRNA from 1 species
UACGUAGGGGGCAAGCGUUGUCCGGAAUUAUUGGGCGUAAAGAGCGUGUAGGCGGUCCGGUAAGUCAGCUGUGAAAGUCAAGGGCUCAACCCUUGAAUGCCGGUUGAUACUGUCGGGCUAGAGUCCGGAAGAGGCGAGUGGAAUUCCCGGUGUAGCGGUGAAAUGCGCAGAUAUCGGGAGGAACACCAGUAGCGAAGGCGGUUCUCUGGGCCGGUACUGACGCUGAGGAGCGAAAGCGUGGGGAGCAAACAGG